rnacentral:tRNA from 1 species
GGCCUCGUAGCUAAGUUGGCUAGAGCGUUGGCAGAACUUAAGCCUUCUCCUUGCUGGCAUGGGAUCGAAUCUCAUCGAGGCCU